UCGAAUUCUUUUUUUCUUUCCAAUUUGAACCACAAAAUUUCCGAAAACUAACCUGUUCGCCGCCUCCAAUGGUGCCGCCACGACCACCGUACGUCACCCUGAUUCGCUACGGGUCCACCAUCGCCAGAUUUCUUCUACCCUCCUUGGAUUGGUGGUGGGUUGUGGGUGUUUUUCUUUUGAAUUUUCUGUUUUUUUUUUUUUUUACAAAUUUCUGAUUUUUUAAUUUUAGGAGAGAUUUUUAGAGAGAUAAAAUUUUAGAGAGAGAAGUAUGAUAUCGUGAAAUGUGUCGUGAGUGAGUGUCGCGAGUAUUUAUAUACGAGGGGGUAAAUACGGAAUUUUAUGUAAAAAAUACGAACGAUGUCUAGUAAAUUGGGAGCGACAUUUAACUGACCCCAAAUUAUAUAUUCCAUUGAAUAUAUAAUUUGGGGCGAAUUUCGUUCUUUCUGAGCUUUCUAUAUUCCAUUGAAGUAGUUUCCGAGGUAAGAUGUUUUUUUUUUUUUUUUUUUUUAGAUCACCGAUUUUAAUUUCAUUAAUUUUAUACAGUAUAGUCAAUUUAGGGUUCUUCACAUUCUGAAAAUUAUAUAGCAAAAUUAGUUCAAUUUGUUGUAAAUUCAUCAAGAUCUUGCUAAAAUUUGAAGUUUGCUCGUUUAAUUUGGUGAAUUUUGUUCGGAUUUCUUCUGCAAUGACUCUCAAUUAUUCGCUCGAGAUGCAAAUCGAGUUCAAAAUAGGUAUAAUUGCGAUGUAUGAUUGUGAAUUAUGUGUUGUUUAAUUGUACCAGGAUAAAUCGAAUCAUUUCCUAUCAAUUUGUAGCUUAAAUUUGCAAGUUCGUAAACAAUUUGUUGCAAAAUUCUCAAUUUAAUUGAUGCAUAUUCAGUCUAAAUAAGAUUUUAGGUUUGUUUUUGAAUCAUUCAAUUUAACUUAUGAUGUUGGAGUUAGAUUUUUUUAUAGUAUGGUUAUGUUGAUUUCCUCAAAAAAUAUAUACACAGAUCGAUCUUAAGGGUUUGGCAAAGGUAAAUUCAAGAUUUUUAGCUGAACAGGUAUUAAGUUAUCUUAAUUUUUUUAUAUUAUCCAAUAUUUCCUGCUUACAUGUGCUAGAAUUGGACAAUUACUGUUUUGUGUUGCUUUAUCGAUUUCAAAAGUAAAUAGAAAUCAAAUAAAGGUAAAUAAAUUAUAUUCUAAAGUAAAGCAAAUAAAAAAACUUCAACUAUGAUUCAUAAUAUAUGAGCAAUGAGAGAAAUGUUGGUUGUGUUUGCUGUAUGCAAUUUCAGUGUUGUGCAAUAGAAUUCUACUAAUUUAGUAAGAGCUGAUAAUCCAAGUUUUGACAAUCUAAGACAAAUGGAGAUUAGGAAUCUUUGCUAAGUUUUCAGGGCACUUAUUCAAGCAAUGAAGUCGUGUUGAGAAUGGUGUUGGGGGUUUAUAUAUCUUCAAUUUGUCUUAUGAUAUAUUAUUUAGUAUGUAAUGUGGGUAUGUUACAGCACUUACAAGCACCUUCAUAUUACAAUAAUCAAUGUGGCAUUGUUCCUUCAGGAACAACGAGAUUAACGCAACUGUAAAUGAGAUCGUUGUAGGAGUGCUUUGAGGACGAGUAUUACAUAUGCUCCAUUCUGUUACCUAUCUAUAUGUAAUACUGAAUUUGUAGUGUAUUAGGUACUUGAGAUUUUGAUUAUUUUUGUAGGUUAGCAUUAGUUUGAGACUGAUGGUGUUGGUGGUUUGGUUGUAUCUUUAGGCAAGGAAAAUUGUAUAAUAGAAAAUGGAACUAGAUAAGGGUGCUUCAGUGGAUGAUAUACGAAAGAAGAUUGCCAAAGAGAGAAAAACUAAGGUUGCAAAACAGCUGGAGAAAAAAAGCUAUUUUUCUGCUGAAAGGAUUCAGUGUCAGAAUAGGGAUCUGAUGCAGAUUAUUAAUAAAUAUGCUGCUGAACCAUUGAAAAAAGUAUCCACAAAAACGACAGAACCAAAAACCUAAUCUAUAGUUGAGCUUUUUGCUGAGGCAAAGGAAGCUCAAGAUGGCAGUCUUAAUUAAAAAAAAAAAAAAAAAAAAAAAUUCAGCUUGCUGACAAGCAACUUCUGGUACUUGUGAUUAAACUUGGUGAUAAGACAAAGCUAUGUCUAGUGACAGAUUUCAUGGAGCCCGAACUAUGAAUUGGUAUCGGAGUCUGAAUCGACCCCAUCGGAGUUACACAGCUAGUUAGCAGUAAGCAUGCUAUCAGCAAGAGACCUAUCUCCACUUAGUGAAAAAUCACGCCUAAGAAGACACCUAUACAAGUAACAAAGUUAGAACUUGUCAACUUUGCAUAUUGGAAUGAUCUCUUAGAUGUCAAUCAGACCAAGAACAACGGAUACGAUUAUAGAAAAGUAUGGCAUUUGGGAUAUACUUGAACAAAGGUGUAAUCACCAAAAGAGUGAAUAGUACUACGAAGCACAUCACAAUGUUGGAGGCUGAUGUCUGACAACCAGCCAUGUAAUUCACAGCACAGCUAACAAAUCCUUCUUCAUAUGAGCAAAUCUAGCUAGGUGCUAUUAAAAGCGGGGAUAAAUUGCAACAAGUGAUAAUAAACAUGAUAUUCUGUAAUUAAUAAUGUUGAUAUAUCCAAAACCUUCACCUGUUCAUUUUGAUGAACUGGCGUGAUGUUUGUUGAUCAAAACUCAUUUUGAACUGAAAAUUACGAAGAAUUUCUCUGAAUCAAUUUUGACCUGUGUCAAUGAGUCAUCUACAUUUGUGUCUCUUAGCUACCAUUUCUUGGUUUCCAUCCACCUCAUAGCCUCUUAUAUCUGCAAAUUUCUCCCAAAUGCUAGUGCUUCCUAAAAAGGUUGGAAGACAUGCUAACUAUACAAAAAUUAAUUUGUAUAUGAAACUUACUGCUAGUGCAAUUACACAUACAAUAGCACCAACUUUGAACCUUUAUGUACCUACAUGUGGGUAAAUCAAAAUAUCUGUAAAGUAAAUCAAAAUAACUCAAAUCGAA